GACGAACGCUGGCGGCGUGCUUAACACAUGCAAGUCGAGCGGUAAAGGCCCUUUCGGGGGUACACGAGCGGCGAACGGGUGAGUAACACGUGAGUGGACCUGCCCUCAGCUCUGGGAUAAGCCUGGGAAACCGGGUCUAAUACCGGAUAUGACUCCAUGACGCAUGUGUGGGGUGGAAGCCUUGUGCGGCUGAGGAUCGGGCCCGCGGCCUAUCAGCUUGGUUGGGGGGUGAUGGCCUACCAAGGCGACGACGGGUAGCCGGCCU
rnacentral:rRNA from 1 species